CCAAAUGCUGUCAGAUUGUCCUACUAGUAUAAAUUAAACAAGUAGGAUAACCUUAAGGUGCAAAAUGCUGUUAGAUUGUCCUACUAGUAUAAAUUAAACAAGUAGGAUGACCUGAAAGUGCAAAAUGCUUUCAGAUUGUCCUACUAGUAUAAAUUAAAGUACCGGAUUUUCUAUUUGGAUUUACUCUCCAUAGCCUUUGACCAGACAAGGCCCACCUGCAAGGCAGCAGGAAACUCGUGGAAGGCGGGGUCGUUCAUUUCCCGUGCAGAUGCGAGGCAUCUGCCCACUGCCCACGAUUGUGCUAUUAGUAUGAAUUAAACAGGUAGGAUAACCUGAAGGUGCAAAAUCUGUUAGGAUGUCCUACUAGUUUAAAUUAAACAGGUAGGAUGACCUGAAGGUGCAAAAUGCUGUUAGAUUGUCCUACUAGUAUAAAUUAAACAAGUUGGAUGACCGGAAAAUGCUAAAUGCUUUCAGAUUAUCCAACUUUUUUGGCCCGCC